rnacentral:rRNA from 1 species
GACGAACGCUGGCGGCGUGCUUAACACAUGCAAGUCGAACGGAAAGGCCCUGCUUGCAGGGUGCUCGAGUGGCGAACGGGUGAGUAACACGUGGGUGAUCUGCCCCUUACUUUGGGAUAAGCCUGGGAAACUGGGUCUAAUACUGGAUAGGACCAUGCUGUAGGGGGGGUGGUGGAAAGAUUAGUUUCGGUAAGGGAUGAGCUCGCGGCCUAUCAGCUUGUUGGUGGGGUAAUGGCCUACCAAGGCGUCGACGGGUAGCCGGCCUGAGAGGGUGGACGGCCACAUUGGGACUGAGAUACGGCCCAGACUCCUACGGGAGGCAGCAGUGGGGAAUAUUGCACAAUGGGCGCAAGCCUGAUGCAGCGACGCCGCGUGGGGGAUGACGGCCUUCGGGUUGUAAACUCCUUUCAGCCAUGACGAAGCCCUUGUGGUGACGGUAGUGGUAGAAGAAGCACCGGCUAACUACGUG